CCUACGGGUGGCAGCAGUGAGGCAUAUUGGUCAAUGGACGAGAGUCUGAACCAGCCAAGUAGCGUGAAGGAUGACUGCCCUAUGGGUUGUAAACUUCUUUUAUAUGGGAAUAAAACGUUCCACGUGUGGGAUUUUGUAUGUACCAUAUGAAUAAGGAUCGGCUAACUCCGUGCCAGCAGCCGCGGUAAUACGGAGGAUCCGAGCGUUAUCCGGAUUUAUUGGGUUUAAAGGGAGCGUAGGUGGAUUGUUAAGUCAGUUGUGAAAGUUUGCGGCUCAACCGUAAAAUUGCAGUUGAAACUGGCAGUCUUGAGUACAGUAGAGGUGGGCGGAAUUCGUGGUGUAGCGGUGAAAUGCUUAGAUAUCACGAAGAACUCCGAUUGCGAAGGCAGUUCACUGGACUGCAACUGACACUGAGGCUCGAAAGUGUGGGUAUCAAACAGGAUUAGAUACCCUUGUAGUC
rnacentral:rRNA from 1 species